UUGAACGCUGGCGGCAGGCCUAACACAUGCAAGUCGAGCGGAUGAAGGGAGCUUGCUCCUGGAUUCAGCGGCGGACGGGUGAGUAAUGCCUAGGAAUCUGCCUGGUAGUGGGGGAUAACGUCCGGAAACGGGCGCUAAUACCGCAUACGUCCUGAGUGAGAAAGUGGGGGAUCUUCGGACCUCACGCUAUCAGAUGAGCCUAGGUCGGUUUAGCUAGUUGGUGGGGUAAAGGCCUACCAAGGCGACGAUCCGUAACUGGACUGAGAGGAUGAUCAGUCACACUGGAACUGAGACACGGUCCAGACUCCUACGGGAGGCAGCAGUGGGGAAUAUUGGACAAUGGGCGAAAGCCUGAUCCAGCCAUGCCGCGUGUGUGAAGAAGGUCUUCGGAUUGUAAAGCACUUUAAGUUGGGAGGAAGGGCAGUAAGUUAAUACCUUGCUGUUUUGACGUUACCAACAGAAUAAGCACCGGCUAACUUCGUG
rnacentral:rRNA from 1 species